AGUCGCGCGAUAGGCAACGACGAUAAUAUAUGCAGUAUCUAUGAAUAUGAAAGUUGCGGAGUUAUUAAGAAAACAUAGCGAGCCUCGAGUAGUCCCGAUUGCUCUGCGCGUACGCACGGAUCAUAAGAUAACGCGUGAUCUACGGAUAUGGAUCAUUGCGAUCCGCAGCAUCGAUGACAGCGACUGGCAGAUCUACGUUCAGGGACAUUUUUGGACGGAGCGGAUCUGCGAGCUACUGUUCAAAAUACUACUACCCUGGUCUUGCAAGGACGACGUGUCACGUGGUUUUGCGAUGGAGGGAGCCGCGGUACGCCUACCCGAAAAUCUGUUUGCCUAGUACAAAACUGGUCGUGUGCUUGAAUUCUCGAUUGACGAGCCAUCGACAGCCGAUCAGUUCCAGAUACGCUGGCCCAGUUCUGUUCAAUUAGCAGUAAAUCGACUCUGAUCCACAUCACUCUCCCUGAACCGCGCAAAUCAAACGAGCCGAGCAGACCUUCCGCUUUUCCACGCUAUCCAGGGAGCAGCCGGGAGCUACGAGCGUCGUCAGCGUGCAGCCUCCAGCUGAAACGCGGGACACCUCUGUAAACACAGCUGUAUGACGUGCUGAUACGUUCCUGGUAUCCUCGAAUCGCGAUGAGAUGUCGUAAACGCGAGAGGAUGACAGAAAAUCAA